GGUUGGGGGCGUGGCUCUCUGUAUUUCUAUCCUGCGGUCGUUACUAAAGUUGGUAUAACUAGAGAAGCAAGUGGUCGACAACAUUCAUCUCUGGAGGGGGGGUCUAACUUGGUCUGUUUGACCCUAAAUUGAUUUUAAACUGAAAUACCCUAUUAAGGGGUUAAAUUUUCUGUAACACAAACUACACACUUGCACAUUACUUCUGUUGGUGUUUGAUUCAGCACUGUAAAAGUUCAAUGAAUAAGACGAAUAUCUUUGAGGCUGAAACCCUUUUUUUUCCUUUAUGCAACAGUCGAUGUUAAACGGAAACUAGAGUUUCAACAUUGCUGAUAAUCGAAAAAGGAAAUUGAAGUUUUUGUGCCUUUCAGCUCCAAGGAUGAGCUUUUAAACUCCAGUGGAGGAGAUGUUUUUAUACAAGAGGAGAGACAGAUGAUGCUGCUGCGCUUGUCUCUGUUCAUGAGUGAGUAGAAAGCCUCUGCAGAACACCUUACCUAAGAGGUAUUUUUAGACACCUAGGACUUUUUCUGCACUCACAGGCCGCGUUUGUUUUCAACCUAAGAGGAAGAACCAGCGUGAAGUCCGGGACAAACCGCAAUCUGACAUUUCAAAAGCAGGCAGAAACUUGUUUGUUACUGUGAAACCCUGACACCCUGCCUCCGGACUGAGUCAGAGCCACGAUUUCCUGAUAACCAUCAGUGACACCUGCUGACCCGUGGCACUAAGUAAUAAAAGGUCAAAGCAUGGUGGGUAAUGAGAGGGGAAGGGGUUAUGAGUCACCGCUGGAGCUGCUGGGCUCUGACAGAAGUGAGGACAGUUUCGGACUUUUUGAUUUCAUUUCCCACGGACUCUCUCCUGAGGUUAAAGGAGAUAUAGACCCGUGUCACAGCGAGAUUUAACAUCUCAGACAUUCUACUCGCCAUCACUGCCAAGAGUCAGCCUCAUAACGUGAGUUUUGUGUCUCAAAAGUGGAUAUGUUUCUGGAUUGAGUCCAGCCACUGACAGUGGGGCAAAAACGUAUUUGGCAGCAACUGAUUCUGCAAGUUGUUCCACUUAUAAAGAUGAGAGAGGCCUGUAAUGUUCAUCUUAGGUAAACUUCAACUGUGAGAGACAGAAUGUUAAAAAAAAAUCCAAGAAAUUACGUUAUAUAAUUUUUAAAGAAUUUAUUUGUUUAGUGGUGCAGAAAAUAAGUAUUUAGCACCUUCAAACAAGCAAGAUUUCUGGGCCUCACAGACCUGUUACUUCGUCAUUAAGAAGCUUUUCUAUCCUCCACUCGUUAUCUCAAUUAAAGACACCUGUCCACACUCUUAAACUGUCAGACUGCAACCUCUCCACUUUGGAGACCUCUCCACUCCUCUACAGCCCCGGUUGAUACAUGAUUGAGAUUUUGCAUGAAGACAGUUGGUGGAAGUUUGCGAAGAGUCCGACUUUCACUUUGAAAUGAUUUCACUUCACUUCUGAUUUUAAAGACAGCUCUAAAGAGGAGGCGACUUCUCUAUUGUCCUUGAACUUUUGACAUAUUCUGCUAAAUUGUUUGUCAGCGCUUCAAUUAAAGGAGGGAGUGAGCAACAUUAAGAGUGAUUAACUGAACACACACACACACAUGCAAUUAGAAGAUGCUUCAAACCUCCCGGGGAGUUGGGUCUUCAGAGAUCAUGAAGCUGAAGAUUAAUGAUGCUGCUUGUUUAUUAAAGUCGAGUCUCAGAGAGGGAAAUGUUCAUUAGUAGUGUUGUUAGACUACAUGUAAUUAUAGAAAACUCCUGGACAGAUGGGUUAUUGAGAGUUAAAUGAAAAAACUCCAACAUUAAACAGGAUUGAUCUGUGUUUAAACUGAUGCACUUCUUCUGCAGCUUCAUUCCCCUGCUGGAAAAUUCUCUGAAUAAAUCGGAUCGUAAACAGCUGUGAUGUUGGGUUAAAAUGCUCCCUAUGUUUUAAGCUCUUAAAAAGCUGUUGUGACUCGGGGUCUCUGCGGCUUUGACCCCAUCAUCAGCUCCUUUAUCUGGCUCUUCAUUGUCUGUUUACCUCUGAACAAUCCAAUCUGGCUUCAAUUAGCUCUCAGGACCUCUUGGUCGGGUCGGGCGGAUGUGGAACAAUGCUCUGCCUUUGUUUAAUAUUCAUCAAAGGAGCUAUUAGCAUUCACAUUGGUAAUAUGAGAUAUAAUUAACAUUCAGGCAUUGAUUUGUGUUUUUUUUUUCUGCUUUUAGGGUUCAUUAAAAUUCUGGACUUCCAGAAGCUGAUGGAAAUCUCUCUCUG
rnacentral:lncRNA from 1 species